rfam:Coccidioides immitis H538.4 supercont1.60 genomic scaffold, whole genome shotgun sequence.
GGACUUGUGGCCCAAUGGCAAGGCGUCUGACUACGAAUCAGAAGAUUGCAGGUUCGAUCCCUGCCAAGUUCA